AUUGAACGCUGGCGGCAUGCUUUACACAUGCAAGUCGAACGGUAACAGGCCGCAAGGUGCUGGCGAGUGGCGGACGGGUGGGUAAUGCAUCGGAACGUGCCCAGUCGUGGGGGAUAACUACUCGAAAGAGUAGCUAAUACCGCAUACGAUCUAUGGAUGAAAGCGGGGGACCGUAAGGCCUCGCGCGAUUGGAGCGGCCGAUGUCAGAUUAGGUAGUUGGUGGGGUAAAGGCUCACCAAGCCAACGAUCUGUAGCUGGUCUGAGAGGACAACCAGCCACACUGGGACUGAGACACGGCCCAGACUCCUACGGGAGGCAGCAGUGGGGAAUUUUGGACAAUGGGCGCAAGCCUGAUCCAGCAAUGCCGCGUGCAGGAAGAAGGCCUUCGGGUUGUAAACUGCUUUUGUACGGAACGAAACGGCUCUGGUUAAUACCCGGGGCUAAUGACGGUACUGGAAGAAUAAGCACCGGCUAACUACGUG
rnacentral:rRNA from 1 species